rnacentral:lncRNA from 1 species
UCUAAUCAUUUACCACAUAUUCACAUCAUCGUAAACUAGACUUAACAUUCCAAAAUUUCAAAUAAGAGAGAUCUUCUAACACUUUUACAUGGUAUAUCCAUUUCGAUUCAUCGACAACAUUUCAUUACAUACAAAAUAUGCUUAUACAACAAUAACAUAAUAACCAACAAGACUUGCCCAUAAUUUUGAAUAGCUCUCCACUGCCUUAACCCAAUUCAAAACAUCUCAAAGAGUGACAAGCUGACCUGAAGGAUUUAUAUAACAACGGAGUGAGCUAAAAACAACUCAGCAAGUGACAAAAUAUAUUCAAAACAAAAGGAACGAUUUCAAACAAGUAAGGUAUCAUAAUGCAAGGCAGAAUACAAUAAUUCUCAAGGAUAUCAUCUCAUUAGAUACAAAAUCAUGUGUCAUGUCAUUCAAAACAUAUUUGGUUCAUAAUAAAUGGAGCAUAGAAUAAUUGGAGCAUAGAGUAAUUAGAGCAUAUAAAUAGCAUAUAAAAUGUUCCGGAGCAUAUCAAUGACAUAUGAAAUAUUUCGGAGCAUAACAAUAGCAAAUGAAACAUUUCGGAGCAUAUCAAAGGCGUAUGAAAUGUUUCAGAGCAUAUCAAUAACGAAUGAAACAUUUCGGAACAUAUCAAUGGUAUGUGAAAUAUUUCAAAGCAUAUCAACGACAUAUGAAUCAUUUCGGAACAUAUCAAAGAACGAAUACGGAACAAAAGCUCAAACGUCGAAUUUGACGUUACAUUCAUAUCAUUCUCAUCCAAAGAACAUAUAGAAACACAUAAUAAAAGCUCUGGAUAUCAUAUCAAACACAUAGAAGGUGAAGUGAGACCAUAACAUAAUAUGAUAUAUCCAUUUCUAAAUGACCGCCAAACAUAAGUCUCUCACGUUUGGGAGCUCCAUCCACCUAUGUCUGAGUGAAGUCAUAGGGGGCUGGCAGAGCAUCACAGGCUCUAUGUAUAACUCCCUUUACCAUUUCUGGCAAAGGUUUACAAUAUCCCACAAACACUAGAGUACAAAGGGACAGUAUGAACAAUAAAUAGCACAUAUCGGAAGCACACGUGGAACAACAAAACGUACAUGUGUCUUUACGAGUCAAUACGAUGCAAGCAUAAUCUUUCAUAACUAUAUUCAGAUUUGAAAGGAAAUGAAAGCAAGAGCAUAAGGAUUCCAAGUAAUCACAUAUAACUCAAUUCAAAUAAGAAGGUUAGAUGAAUUCAAUGUCCAAAGGAAGGAAACUGGAAUAGGCACAUACCGAAAGCAAAUACGGAACAAUGGAAUAUACAUGUACUUAUAUGAGUCAAUACGAUAUAGCAUAAACGUUACACAAUAGUUUUCAAGAAUGCAAAUAAUUUUAAGGACAAGAGCAUACAAGAAUUCAAAGCAGUAAUAUAAAGCUCAAUUGAACAAGAAAGCUAAAUUAAAAUCAAUUUCCAAAGGAAUGAAACCGGAAUAUGCGAAAUCGAUCAAAGCUCGAUUUUUGGUAGAAUUUGAGAGGCACAAUGAACAAAUGAUUCAAACUAUCAAUUGUGCUCCAAUAUACUCAAGAAAGCUAUCGUGGAAAGAUAUUUCAAUCUAUUUUCAAAUAAAACAAGUCUCGUAUGAAUCAAAGUUUCCAACAAAGAGUUACAAUUGAUUUAGUAACCAAAGGUCAGAAAACAAAAUCAUUGUUUUGCAUAAUCCAUAGGGUCGGAUUCAAUAGAUAACUGAGCAGACAUUUGGACUCUAAAUAUUUCAAUCCAGGUAUCCAAAGAAAGAUCUACGAGUCUAGUUUCCAAUGUAAUAAGUUUUGAAUAAAUCAAAGUUUCCAACAGAGACUUAUAGGCAGUUCAGUAUUAAAAUGUUAGAAAUUAUGAUCCCUGUUUUUCAGAAUUCGUAGGCUCAUUUGAAACAGAAGUUUGGAUAGGCAAACUUACUCCGAAUUCUUAAAAUAACCUAUCAAAAGAAAGGUUUAUGAGUCUAUAUUCAGAUCAAACAAGUUUUGUCCAAAUCAGAGGUCAGUGCAUAAAGUUAUAACCAUAACAAAGUAGAAAUGUCAGAAUCUCGGAAGUUUCAUAGAUUUAAGUCGUUACGUCUAAACAGAAGAUAUAUCAAAUGCAAGGCUAGAACAAUUCAAAGUUUUUCAUAUUCAAAGCAAAUGCAGAGAUAAAAUUAUAGUAAGGAAAGAUCAGGACACUUGCAAUAGGAAAGAUUAGAAAGCUUGCAAUAGGAAGGAUCGAAACACUUGCACGAGGAAAGAUCAUAAUACUUACAAUAAGAAAGAUUAGAACACUUGCAGGAGAAAAGAUCGGGACACUUGCAAUAGGAAAGAUUAGAAAGCUUGCAAUAGGAAGGAUCGAAACACUUGCACUAGAAAGGAUCAAAACACUUGCAAAAGAAAAGAUUAGGACACUUGCCUUUCGAAGGUUUUGAUCAAAAGAUCCGAAGAAAGUGUACGCUGGAAUCCUUCUUCUAUUUUUCCUCUAUGUCCUCUCCCUGUUUCAUUUUCUGUAUCUAUCUUCAUUUUUAUCCCAAUCGUAGCCAUAGCCACGGUCGCAGCCACAGCCCCUUCCACUGCACUACUUCCUUUCUCCAUUCUCCAUUCUUUUUCUUUCCCAAACACAGCUGCCGCAACCAUCGCCGCUACCGCAGCCACCUUCCCCUCUUCCUCUUCUUCUUCCUUUCCUUCUCUUCUUCCUCUCCUUCCCUUCUUCCUUCCUCUUCCUCUUUCCCUGCCACAGCUGCAGCUGCCACAGCCGCAGCCACAGCUCUCCUUCCUCUCUUCUACCUCACCUUAAUUUCUUCCUUUCCUUCUUCUCUUCCAGCUGCAGCUGCCACCGCCGUAGCCCCAGCCUCUUCUUCUUUCCCUUCUCUUCUUCUCCUCUUCUUCCCCUUUCCUCCCCGACGCACAGCGUCACCUCUCCUCUGUUUCCUCCUGUUGGAAACAGAAGUGCCGCAGCCACCUCUUCCCUCCUCUUCUUCUUCUCUUUCUUUUCCUCUCCUUCUCUUCUCCUCCCUGGCGCCACACACACCCUCUCCUCUGUUUCCUCCUGUAGGAAACNN